rnacentral:rRNA from 1 species
GAUAAACGCUGGCGGCGUGCAUAACACAUGCAAGUCGAACGAAAUGGCGAACGUGUGAGUAACACGUGAGUAACCUGCCUUACAUAAGGGGAUAGCCUUUGGAAACGCAGAAUAAUACCCUAUAGUGUAUGAUGGACUUGCGUCUGAUUAGCUAGUUGGUGAGAUAAAAGCCCACCAAGGCGACGAUCAGUAGCCGGCUUGAGAGGGUGUACGGCCACAUUGGGACUGAGACACGGCCCAAGCUCCUACGGGAGGGAGCAGUGGGGAAUUUUGCACAAUGGGGGAAACCCUGAUGCAGCAACGCCGCGUGAGUGAUGACGGCCUUCGGGUUGUAAAGCUCUGUUAAUCGGGACGCGGUACCGGAAUAGAAAGCCACGGCUAACUACGUGCCAGCAGCCGCGGUAAUUC